rnacentral:lncRNA from 1 species
AUGGGUUUAAUUCCCAAUACUGUGGGGGGGGGGCAAGAAAGAAAGCUGCCCUGGAGAGAUGGAGUCUUGACUUCUUAUGCUCCAACUGCACUGCGGCUGAGGCACCCCAAAAGGCACCUGUCACAGGUCAUAUACUCAGGGGCAACAGAUUUGAUAGGUAAAACUUUUUUCCUGGUGCUGAAGAUUGAACCCAGGGCCUUGUGUAUACAAAACUCACACUCUAUGACUGAGCUUACUGCCAGCUCAGGGCAAAGCUUUGAAGGACAGGUUGCUUAUAGGGGAAAGAGGAAUAAAACUGCUACCCUGAGCAGUUCCUCCCUAUCUCAAGAUGUUACACUCCCUAGAAGGGACAGGAACAAGGUCCAGAUGAUUUCAAAUAGUUUCCUCUCAAUCUAAUGAUAUUGCCACUCAAGAACAUUUUAUGGUUAUUCUUAGGAACUACAAGCAUGAAAGGGGAGGAGAACUGAAUUGGUUCAAGGCUACCCUUCAACACAUUUCUGGCACAUAACUUUUUUCUUUUUUGACACAAGAUCUCACUAUGUAGUCCAGGCUGGCUAAUAAUGAAUCUUUCCAUGUGGCCGAAAUUGUACAAAGUAAAUAUGGAAGCUAUGGUUGCCAUCUGCCAGCUGCCAUAUGGCUCAAAUAACUCAGAAAGCCAGAUGCUGAGGGGAAAAAUGAAAUGAGAAACAGAGUGCUGACCUUUCCUUUUCACACCAACUCUGAUGCCUCAUUGCUUACAUUCCUGCCUUAGCUCAGUGAGAUGGCCCUAUUUCUUUUAUAAUUUCCCCCUUUCUACCUACAGUAUUUCAAGUGUGUUCAGGGCUGGGUACUUUCCCCAUGAAUUCUGCUGACAAGAUGGUUGUUUCUCCAGUUGCCCUAUGAUGUGCACACUGCUUUUUCCCUAGUGACCUGCUCCACUCAUCAGCUGUGCUGGGCCAGACAAAAGAGAAGAAAAGCACAAGGAGAGUGACAAGAACUGGACAAAACUGAAUUCAAAUUUAUCACUCAUUCACUGUUUGACUUUAAAUAAGUUCCUUAAACUUUCAGAGCCUCCAUUUAUGUUUAUAUGAAUGUCUCCCUUACCAGACUGAUUAGGCAAAAUAAGGAAAUAAGGCAUAUCAAAAUAUUAGAACAGGGUAAUGCAUAUUAUAGGCACUCAUUGACUACAGAUAAAACAUUGAAUGGAGACCUAUAACACUUAGGGAUUAUGGUUCCUGGCCUCAUAGCUGUGAUGAUAUCAUCAUUUGGUAUCCAUGGACACAUAUAAGUAUCUUGUCCAAAGUAAGCAAUGAAAUAUUUGAGAUGGCCUUCAGUUUUUCUGCUAUUAACAUAAAUAUGCCAUGAACAUUCUUAUAACUAAAUCUUCGUACAUAUACUUUACUUUCUUAAGUUCCUCUGAAGUCAGAACACAGGUAUGUUAUUCUGGCUUUUGGUACUUAUUGCCAAAGUUCCUUUCAAAAAACUGAACCUAGUUAUAGUUCCAGCAGCAUGCCUAUGUAUCAGUGUAGCAGAUGACUAGUUGUCCCCACAUCCAUUCUCCCUUUCUUCCAUCAUCAGAAUUGAGCUAGGGCCAGGGAUUUAGCUCAGUGGUUUUGCUGCCCGCUGCGUAAGCACAAGGACCCGAGUUCGAUCCCCUGUACCAAAAAAAAAAAAAAAAAAGAAUUGAGUUUAGAUGUGUACAUGGCUACCCAGAUUGACUACAUUUCCUGUAAACAAGUAUAAUACCUUCUUAGGGGAUUGCAAAACAGAAAAAUUGUAGGAUUUUGGGACCUUGAAUGACUUCAUGAAGCCUUAAGCCUGAUCAGUUAUAUAAGGUCUCUUCUAUAGACUCUCAGCCUAAAUCUUAAAAGUACAGUGGGGUUAAAACAUCUUUUAUUAGUAAUAGUAAGGCACUUUGGAGUACUAAUUCAUUUUAUAUGAUGAGUAGGUUAUGUAUGACUGCAUUAUCCAUGACAACAAAAACUAUGUAUCCCCCAUGUACAAACAGGUGCCAGUAUUCAUGUGUUAACAAUUAUCAUUCACAUCCACAUUAAAAAAAAAUUCCCUUCAUGUAAAAGCGCAGUGGAUUCAGUGCCAAUCACUCUACCCUUCUUCUUCAUAACCAUCCUUCAAUGUUAAUGCACAGUGUAUCUUUCCUCAUAGGAAGUUACUAAAGUUUGGGCACAUAAUCUAAUCAAACACUAUGGUGUUCUUUUGUUUAUUUUCAAGUCUAAACUUGCAGUUAAUUGUCUAUGAAUAUUUUGUAGGAUUAUAGGUCACACUUCUGGAGAGUUAAAUUAAGUUGUACAACCCAUUAUGGAGACGAGAGUCUUUUUUUUUUGGUACUGGGGAUUGAACUCAGGACCUUGCACUUGCAAGGCAGGCACAGUGCCACUGAGCUCAAUCCCCAGGAGAGUCUAUUUUUUAAAAAGUAAUUCUCUUAGUAUUGCAGUAGGCCAUAUGUUAACUUCUCUCCUGUCGCUAAUUCUGGAAGUUUCUAAUCACUGUUAACAGAGGAGAGUUCCUAGAUCAUAAAGAAUUCUAGAAAUAAAGUGAAUAUUAUUAUGAGGAUUUGUACAAGCUAUUUCUGUGAUAGUUAACUGAUUGUGUCAACUUGAAUAAGAAACACUCAGUUGAAUUGGAUCAGCAUAGUUGUGUGGCUGAAGGGAUUUACUGAAAACAGAAGACAAACCCUGAGUGUGAGUGAAACGAACAAUAGACUUCCUGCCAGAAUGGAAUGACAGGGAAGGAAGGCUCGCUUCUGUUUCUGUCAUCGCCUUCACCCUGGACGUUGUCUCCUGGCUUCCACGCAGACCCUUCAGCUUCCUCUUUACGGAUGCACAUGGGACAAUAUAGUGAGCUCCACGCCUUUGACUGGAUCUUUCAGAUCUUCAGUGCACAGAGAGCCCUUUUGCAUUUUUCCACAUCUGACUUUGUGGGUGGCCACUGUAAGUCAAUCUUGUAAAUUCCUAUAUAUUUGUAUAUCUUACAUUAAAUCUGCUUCUCUAGUAAGCACUGACUGUAUAAUUUCUAAAUAGGUGUUUAAUAUUUCCUUUACUUUUUAAAUAGAUGUUAAAUUACCCAUGAUUAACACUAUCUUUGUUCUCCUUCUCUCAAAGAUUACAGCUCUGUACUAUUUUCUAAUGCCUGAAAAGUUACUUGUAUUUAUUUUAAGCAGUAUUAUUGUUUGAGAAAGAGUCUCACUAUGUUGUGCAGACUAGCCCUACACUCUUGAUUUUCCUCCCUCAGUCUCUUAAGUGCUGGAAUUACAGGUAUGCACCACCAUGCCUGGCUUUAUUUUAUUCAGCUUUAUGGUCAUCUAUUGUGGAACUGUGAAUCUUUUAUUCUGUCUUGGUUGAACCAGAAGUGUCUGUGAAAUUUUAAGUCAUAUUUUUUUUUACCUUAAUGCUAUAUAAGGAUUACCUUAUAUUAAAUAAACACUCAGGAACUGAUAUAGCUCUAAGACCUGCUUCAUAUCACUGGCCCUUCUUCAGUUGCCAUUUAUUGAUUUACCAUCAUAAUGGUGAUUCAAUGGUGAUUCUCUCCAUUUCAAGUCCCCCAUCUCCUGCUACUACCAACUCCUCAGCUUCUCCUUUGUAUGUGUAUUAACAAGACUCAUGCUUUCUUGACAACUUUGGUCUACUGUAGAACUAUAAUGGUAUCUCUUUAUGAAUCCUUUUAGCAACACUUUCAGCUUCCACAACCUACUACUAUCAACCCAUCCUCUGUAUUCCACAUUGGAACUCCUGAAGAGAUAACCUAAUAACUACCCCUGUCUCUCUUUUGAGAGAUUUGAGCCAAGGUUUUUUGGGGGGUUUUUGUUUUUUAAUCAGCUAUGGCAAGGAAGGCAGGUGGGGAAGAGAGUGAAGUUGGUCACUGUGUGCAGAUCAUGGCCACCCAGCACUGCUUACUUAACAGGGGCUGUGGCCAGAGAAGUUCUAUUAGAAGGAAUAGUGAAUGUAGCAGUCACUGAGAUUGACCUAUAGCAGUGAUUUAUUUAUACAUCUCUCUAAAUGUGAAAUUUUUGAGGGUGGAGUUCAUGUUUUAGAUAUUCUUUAAUCAUUUAGUGCUCAGCAAAUUGGUUGGCACUUAGUAAAUUAAAUUUUAUUGAAUGAAUGAAUGAAUGAAUGAAUUGAUCAACGGCUAUCUUGACUUCCCAACUAGACUAUAAACUUUCUUGACAGGUUCCAGAAUUUAACAUAAAUCCUUUAAAUGAACAAAUUAAAGGAGUACUUUGGGGAUGGUUUUAAGAAAUUCUGUUUUACAAAUAAUUGAUAAUUUGAAAUAGGAAGAAAAGGUCCAAAGGGGUAGGGGAAGUGGGAGGGGAAGGGGAAAGGAAAGAAGGGAAAGGAAAAAUUAUGAGAAAAGAAAAAAAUGGAAACAAAGUCUAUGUAAAUAGGGAAGGGUGGAGGGGGUGAAGGGCGCACAGGUAAUGGGGAAAAAAUAAGAACCAAGAUACAUCAUGUACAAGUACAAGCAACCAAUGACAAAUGUAAACAUACUGUAUACCUAAAAUGUACCAAUAAAAGAAUUUAAGCAAAAAAAGAAAAAAGAAAUGCUGUUUUAAGAAACAACUGAACCAGGCUUGGUGGUACACUCCUAUAAUCCCAGCACUUGGGGAAGAGAGGCAGCAGGAUAUGAAGUUCAAGACCAGCAUGAGCAAUUUAGUAAGACCUUGUCUCAAAAUAAAAAAUAAAACAGGGCUGAGAAUGUAGCUCAGUACAAAGGCUACAAUCCCCAGGUAUAAUUUCCAGGUCCACAUCCAUACAUACCUACACAUACAAAUUGGUUUUACUUAAUUGUUCUGAGUCAAUAUUUUAUAGUGGUUCUUGAUAAUAAGAAUUAUUUUGUACAGACAGUGGGUAUGGGUUUAAGUCUUUGUUGUUUCCCUCUAAACUUGUGAGUCAUUGACCCUGAAGCUGGAAUAGACCUGGUUUGCACCAUAGAGAACUUAAUUAUCCCCAUGGUAAUGCAGAACUUCUUGCCUACCAGUUCUUCCCACAUAUUUAUUAUAUUUAAAACAAGAAAUCAUUAUUUACUUCAUAGUUGAUAUUCUGAUGUUUUUCAGGACAAAAUUCUUAAUCUCAUUCAUUCUUCUAUGUAAAACACUGUUAUAGCAGCAAUAUAAAGUAAUUCAUAGCAACAAUAAAAAAGUAAUUA